rnacentral:rRNA from 1 species
UACAGAGGUCCCAAGCGUUGGUCGGAAUCACUGGGCGUAAAGGGUGCGUAGGCGGCGCGGUAAGUCGGGUGUGAAAUCUCGGGGCUUAACUCCGAAACUGCAUUCGAUACUGGCGUGCUUGAGGACUGGAGAGGAGACUGGAAUUUACGGUGUAGCGGUGAAAUGCGUAGAUAUCGUAAGGAAGGCCAGUGGCGAAGGCGGGUCUCUGGGCAGUUCCUGACGCUGAGGCACGAAAGUCAGGGGAGCAAACGGG